UCUUAAAUAAUAUACAAGGGGGUUGAGACUUUUCUUAGCACAACAAAAUCUACUUUUCCACAACGCUUCAAUAAUUAAAAUUUUAUGGAGGUGAGAACCCAAGUCAGAUCAUUUGGUAGCUGACUUGGGCUCUCAUGUGGCGGUCCAGGGAGACUGGUAGUGAUUGGGGGAUUAUUUCACUCGGCCCUUGCUCUGGGCCUGACAAGUUCUACAAUUUGCAGGUUUGGAAAAUGUGGUUAGUGGUAACGGUGGGGUCUACAGAUGGGUAACUCUGGGACCUCCUCCACCUCAUCUUUUAGAGGGGAGGCCUACACCUGCCAACAGGUGGGGCACUAAUAACUGGAGCAUUGGUAAUACGAGUGUUUUCCCCGGUCACUCCCCAUGGUAGGUGGUGGUGUAACCGUGUUUAACUACCACGGGUUUUAUGACCCUAUGUCAACAUAAGUCAGCUGAUAGCCAUUGUGUAUAGGUAAUCGGUAGUCACCCUGGCGCCUCAACAAAAUAUUAUAGAAUACUCUGUAGCCAAAGUAAUGCCACAAAGUAAAAAUGUAUAUUGUAGUCAUGAAAAUGUUAAUACAAGUUGAUGUAAUAAAAUUUAAUUUGAA